GACGGUUCAUCAAGACUUAAAAAAAGAAUAUAUACGAUUGCAUUGCAUAUACUAACGGAUGCGAUCAUACCAGCACUAAUGCACCGGAUCCCAUCAGAACUCCGCAGUUAAGCGUGCUUGGGCGAGAGUAGUACUAGGAUGGGUGACCUCCCGGGAAGUCCUCGUGUUGCAUCCCUUUUUUUUUUUGGUUAAAACUUUAUGACUCCAUAACUUGUAAACAG
rnacentral:rRNA from 1 species